rfam:Lactococcus lactis subsp. cremoris TIFN6 scaffold7.1_8, whole genome shotgun sequence.
AUGUAGCGACGAAACGAGAGGUUGCGACACACCCGAAGGUAUUGCCAUACCUAACGUGUCGGUUUUCCCGUGGAGCUAGCCUAUUGAAUACAAUAGACGA